GUCUACGGCCAUGCCACCCUGAACAAGUUUGUCUGAUCUCAGAAGCUAAGCAGGGUCAAGCCUGGGUAGUACUUGGAUGGGAGACCACCUAGGAAGACCAGGUGCUGUAGGUG
rnacentral:rRNA from 1 species